ACGUAUGGGGCAAGCGUUGUUCGGAAUUAUUGGGCGUAAAGGGCGUCUAGGCGGGGGAUUAAGUUAGGUGUGAAAGCCACGGGCUCAACCCGUGAACUGCAUCUAAGACUGGUUCUCUUGAGUUCGGGAGAGGAGAGCGGAAUUCCAGGUGUAGCGGUGAAAUGCGUAGAUAUCUGGAAGAACACCAGUGGCGAAGGCGGCUCUCUGGCCUAGAACUGACGCUGAAGCGCGAAAGCGUGGGGAGCAAACGG
rnacentral:rRNA from 1 species